GUACCACCCCCCUUGUGGUACUAGAGAUUGAGCCCAGGAUGCUCUGCCACUGAUCUACACCCCAACCCUUUUUAUUUUUUACUUUGAGAUCAGCUUUCACUAAGUUGCUCAGGCUGACCUUAAACUUGUGUCCUUCUGCCUUGGCCUCCCAAGUAACUGCCAUUACAGGUAGGUACCACCUGAUUAAUUUGGCUAGUACUUCAGAGAAUUAGAAGCAUAGCAUCUUGUCAAAUCUUUUAGCCUCCUGAACCUCAAAGAGCCUGUCACUCUUCCAGAAUCGAAUCUUUUAGGCAGUGUGACAUGGCAGUGUGAAUCUUGGAGUUGAGCCUUUGAAUCCUGACUUUACCGCUAUAUUCCUUGCAUCUCUAGCCAAAUUAGUUUAAAUAAUAAUGUCUUCAUCUGUAAAAUUAAGGUAAUACCUAGCUUAUAGAAUUUUAACAAAUACUUAAAAAUAUUUAUCAGGGUGCCCCAGACACAGCCAAUGAAUAGCAAAUCUCUGCUCUUGGAAUGAAAAAUAAUCUAUCAGAUAUAAUUGGUCAGCUGACAGAUUUUUUUUCUCUUAUAAAUUAAUGUAGUUUUCAAACUAUUGAAUCUUAUUAAAUAUGCCAGCAAAUGCUUUUAAAAAUAUUUUAAACAUUUAGGAAGACUCAAGAUCAGAUCCAUAAAAUACCAUCUUGAUUUUAAAAUGUACAGUAUUUUGCCAUUUUCAUCUUUUAAAAUGAAAUUUUGCACAUACUUGAAAUGUCAUUGUACCCCUCCUCACCCCAUUCCCAUUUUUAAUUUUUCUUAAGUAUUUUUGUUUAUUUGUACUUAGCUUUUGUAGUAUCCAUAUACAAGAUGUAUUUUGGAGUUUUGAAAAUUUGC
rnacentral:lncRNA from 1 species